rnacentral:lncRNA from 1 species
UUCCCCCUCUGGCUUCUUUCAAGAUUUUUUUUUUUUUUUGGAGGUGUGGAGCAAGAUAGCAGAAUAGAAGUCUACACCGUUCAUCCCCACUGCUGGAACACCAAAUGUAACAACUAUGUGCACACAGAAAAGCACUGUCACAAGACCCAAAUAUCAGACCAAGUCAUGCUUUGUCACCCAGGCUGGAGUGCAUGGCGCAAUUCUGGCUCACUGCAAUCUCUGCCUCCCAGGGUCAAGCAAUCGUUCCACAUCAGCCUCCUGAGUAGCUGGGACUACAGGCAGGUGCCACUACCCCUUGCUAUUUUAUUUUUUUUUCUAGAUACUGCGUCUCACUAUGUUGCCCAAGCUGGUCUUGAACUCCUGAGCUCAAGUGAUCUGCCCACCUCGGCCUCCCAAAGUGCUGGGAUUACAGGUGUGAGCCAUUGUGCCCAGCCAGCUUGUCAAUAUAUGUAUUUUAAUUUGCUGGAAUUUUGAUGAGGGUUAUAUUGAAUUAUAAAUUAACAUUUUUACAUCUGUUAUCUUUACAGUAUUAAAUCCAGUAAUCCUUGAACACAUUAUAUACUUUUAUUUAUUUAGAUAUUUAAUUUCGCUCAAUAUUGACUUGUAGUUUUCAGUGUAGAGACGUACAUCCUUCCUUCAAUUUAUGCCUAGGUAUUUGAAAGGUUUAAAAAUGAUGCUAUUAUAAUUUAUAUAACAUUUGUAUGGAAAACCCAAAAGAAACUACUGCAGUAGUUAAUGGUGAUGACUAUUAGCAAUUUUCCUAAUUGCAAAGACAAUAUUAAAAAAGCAAUUUUAUUUCUAUAUGCCAACAAUAGAAAAAUUAUAAAAAACAUAGGCUAAUGUUUUAUUUGAAAAAUAUUUUUCUUUUAAUACUGACUUAGAAAAAUCUGUGGAAUCUGAAAGUAAUUUUUUCUUUGAGGUAGGGUCUUGCUCUGUCACCUAGAGUACGGUGGUAGGAACAUGGCUCACUUGCAGUCUCGACCUCCUGAGCUCAAGUGAUCCUCCCAUCUCAACCUCCCAAGUUGCUGGGACUACUGGUGCGCGCCAUCAUGCCUGGCUAGUGUGUGUGUGUGAGUGUGUGUGUGUGUGUAUUUAUUGUUGAGACAGGGUUUCAUCACAUUGCCCAGGCUGGUCUUAAACUCCUGGGCUCAAGUGAUCUGCCUGCUUUGGCCUCCCAAAGAGCUGGGAUUAUAGGCAUCAGGCACCAUGACUGGAGGAAAGUAAUUUUUAAAAUAAUUAUUUUCUUAGAAUUUUCCCUGAAAUGUCCUUUGCAAUCUAUUUCCAGUGUUAUGUGGAAAAACAAUGUAAAAAUGCAAUUCAUUGGUAGUCAUUUUGGUAGGAUGAUACAUUCCAAAAAAAUGGAUAGACAUACACGUUAACUAUCGAAUGAUGUAAUGAUUUUUACAGAGUUUAACAUUCCUUUUAGAACUCCAAUAACUGUAUUUAUUUAACCUGCAUACUGAUGACUGCAAUUAGGGGUCACUUUAUCUUAGAAUAAUUAAAUAUAUCAUGAUAUCCUAGUUUAAUCCAUUAAAUUGUUACUUUCAGUUUGCCAACAAGUUCUUAUGGUCUGGUUAUCUUAUGAUUAAAUCAGCACAAAAUAUAUUUCACUUAUUUAUAAUUUUUCAAGUUUUAUUUUCUAAGUAGCAGGCAAAUUCUUCAAGGAAACCUAAUUAUAACAAAACAGUAUGUCAUAUUUCUAUUUCAUUUGAUGUAAUUUAAAUUUUAAUUCCUGAUUUGUCAAAAAAUAAUUAGAACUUUACCAUUUCCCAAAUAUAAAAGAAAAAUGUCCUGGAUAUCAAUCUACAGAAAGGCAUGAAGCUGCAAAGGACAGAGGAGAAGGUGAUGAUGUGUCAAAUCAGAUAGACCAGUGUAUCAAUUAUAGUUCAAAGAUGGAGACUCUCUUGGGUGAACCCAUAAUUCUACUGGCCAUACUCCUUGAUUAGACUACACUGGAUAAUAAGACAUCUCUAUAGUUAGUUCCCCAAAAUUAGAUAUCUUAAUUAUUUGCCUAUAGAGUUUUAUAAGUCCUUUUGUAAGAAGAAAACAAAAUGGACAUUUCUGGACUAUAUCAUUUUGAACAUUAAAUACACAUUAUAUUUGAUACCCAAGUGUAACACUUACCUGGCCUCUCUCUCCCAGCUGUGGCUGACCUUUAAAACUGGCACGGCCAUUAGAUUGAAGACUAUAGCAGGUCUUUUACCUAUACAAGUGGUUUCUACAAAAGGAGCCUGGUAAAGAAAACUGAGUCAGAAAGAAGGUGGCACUUUUGUUAUCCGGAUGAAUGCUUUUGCUCUGAACAGGCAGUUGCUGUUCUCCAAGAUCUCUGGCAUGCUUGCCCAGAGAGAAGAGCUGUGUAGCCUCCAUCAUCCAUAGAGGUGGCAGGAACACCAUUUGCACAAGUCAGAAUGAGGAAAGGUAGGAGACUUAGGAUGUGAGGCUUGAGAGAAAAACAGUUGACAAAGCAGCAGCAAAAUUCUCCUAGUGUACACAGCCUAUUCUCCUGAGGGGAGUCAUAUAAGUGCAAAUAUAACAUCUAUAGCUACAGGAAUUUUUUGUUUGUGCUCUUUUAAUAUUUAUUUUAUCUAUUUGUCACAAACAUGUAAUGAAUGUUGGUAUGCAUGUAUCUGCCUCCUCCACUGGACUCUGAGAAACCACACACCCAGAAUCUUGUACAUGGUUGGAACUAAAUAAACCACACUGUUAGAAUGCAUGCCAAUCUUUAAAAUAGACUAUUGUAAUGUUAAUUUAUACCUACAUACAUGACUUAAUUUUCAAAAGAUCUUAACAAGUGGGUACAUAAGUCCCCUCUCAGUGAUGUGUUAAUUUUUUAAAUAUUUGUAAAUAUUGUGUUCUGUGCUGAAACAAACUGGAAAAAAACAAGUUUUAAAAAUGUACUGAGCAAAAGGAAAAUGUGCCUCUCUAUUAACCUAGUCAAUGUGGAAAACUAUAACACUGCAUAAUAUUUUGAAUUAAUAUAAAUCAUGAAUUAUAAUGUUACAGUUGCAUUUGGG